rnacentral:rRNA from 1 species
AUUGAACGCUGGCGGCAGGCCUAACACAUGCAAGUCGAACGAGUGGCGGACGUGUGAGUAAUGUCUGGGAAACUGCCAGAUGGAGGGGUAACAACACUGGAAAGGGUCGCAUACACCGCAUACCCUCGGAAGUGCCCAGAUGGGUUUAGAUAGUAGGGGGGGGAAAGGCUCACCUAGGCGACGAUCCCUAGCUGGUCUGAGAGGAUGACCAGCCACACUGGAACUGAGACACGGCCCAGACUCCUACGGGAGGCAGCAGUGGGGAAUAUUGCACAAUGGGCGCAAGCCUGAUGCAGCCAUGCCGCGUGUAUGAAGAAGGCCGUCGGGUUGUAAAGUACUUUCAGCGGGGAGGCGUUACCCGCAGAAGAAGCACCGGCUAACUCCGUGCCAGCAGCCGCGGUAAUAC